CACGUAGGGACCAAGCGUUGUCCGGAUUCAUUGGGCGUAAAGAGCUCGUAGGCGGCUCGGUAAGUCGGGUGUGAAACCUCCAGACUCAACCUGGAGACGCCACCCGAUACUGCCGUGGCUAGAGUCCGGAAGAGGCGAGUGGAAUUCCUGGUGUAGCGGUGGAAUGCGCAGAUAUCAGGAGGAACACCAAUAGCGAAGGCAGCUCGCUGGGACGGUACUGACGCUAAGGCGCGAAAGCGUGGGGAGCGAACAGG
rnacentral:rRNA from 1 species